rnacentral:rRNA from 1 species
CAGUCGCCGCGGUAAUACGUAGGUGGCAAGCGUUGUCCGGAAUUAUUGGGCGUAAAGGGCUCGCAGGCGGUUAUAUAAGUCAGAUGUGAAAUCCCCGGGCUCAACCCGGGAACUGCAUUUGAGACUGUAUGGCUGGAGUGUGACAGAGGGGGGUAGAAUUCCGCGUGUAGCAGUGAAAUGCGUAGAUAUGUGGAGGAAUACCGAUGGCGAAGGCAGCCCCCUGGGAUAACACUGACGCUCAUGCACGAAAGCGUGGGGAGCAAACAGGAUUAGAUACCCCGGUAGUCCCUGUCUCUUAUAC